rnacentral:rRNA from 1 species
GACGAACGCUGGCGGCGUGCUUAACACAUGCAAGUCGAACGGAAAGGCCCCUUUGGGGGUACUCGAGUGGCGAACGGGUGAGUAACACGUGAGUAACCUGCCCUUGACUUCGGGAUAACUUCAGGAAACUGGGGCUAAUACCGGAUAGGAAUCCUUGCUGCAUGGUGGGGGUUGGAAAGCUUCGGCGGUUUUGGAUGGACUCGCGGCUUAUCAGCUUGUUGGUGGGGUAGUGGCUUACCAAGGCUUUGACGGGUAGCCGGCCUGAGAGGGCGACCGGCCACAUUGGGACUGAGAGACGGCCCAGACUCCUACGGGAGGCAGCAGUGGGGAAUAUUGCACAAUGGGCGGAAGCCUGAUGCAGCAACGCCGCGUGCGGGAUGACGGCCUUCGGGUUGGAAACCGCUUUCAGCAGGGGCGAAGCUUGUGGUGACGGUACCUGCAGAAGAAGCACCGGCUAACUACGUG